rnacentral:lncRNA from 1 species
UUUUGUUGAGUUUGACGAGCCUAGUAAUGGGUAGGAGGUGGGGGAGAAGCGUAGAUGUAGACUGGAGGUGGGGGAGAUUUUACUGGUGGUGGUGGAGAGUUGUAAUGGUACGGUGGUGGUGGGGAUUUCACUGGAGGAGGUGGUGAAUGGUAGUAGUAAGGUGGUGGGGGAGAUUUGACUGGAGGGGGUGGAGAGUUGUAAUGGUACGGUGGUGGUGGGGAUUUCACCGGAGGAGGUGGUGAAUGGUAGUAGUAUGGUGGUGGUGGAGAUUUGACUGGAGGGGGUGGUGAGUGAUAAUAGUAUGGUGGAGGAGGAGACUUCACAGGUGGGGGUGGUGAGUGGUAGUAGUAAGGUGGUGGAGGUGAUUUCACUGGUGGGGGAGGUGAGUGAUAGUAGUAUGGUGGUGGUGGAGAUUUCACCGGAGGAGGUGGGGAGUGGUAGUAGUAUGGUGGUGGUGGAGAUUUCACCGGAGGAGGUGGUGAGUGGUAGUAGUAAGGUGGAGGAGGAGAUUUCACCGGUGGAGGUGGGGAGUGGUAGUAGUAUGGUGGUGGUGGAGAUUUCACCGGUGGAGGUGGUGAGUGGUAGUAGUAUGGUGGUGGUGGAGAUUUCACCGGAGGAGGUGGGGAGUGGUAGUAGUAUGGUGGUGGUGGAGAUUUCACCGGAGGAGGUGGGGAGUGGUAGUAGUAAGGUGGAGGAGGAGAUUUCACCGGAGGAGGUGGUGAGUGGUAGUAGUAUGGUGGUGGUGGAGAUUUCACCGGAGGAGGUGGUGAGUGGUAGUAGUAUGGUGGUGGUGGAGAUUUCACCGGAGGAGGUGGUGAGUGGUAGUAGUAUGGUGGUGGUGGAGAUUUCACCGGAGGAGGUGGGGAGUGAUAGUAGUAAGGUGGAGGAGGAGACUUCACCGGAGGAGGUGGGGAGUGGUAGUAGUAAGGAGGGGGUGGCGACUUCACGGGAGGAGGUGGGGAGUGGUAGUAGUAAGGAGGGGGAGGAGAUUUCACCGGAGGAGGUGGAGAGUGGUAGUAGUAAGGUGGGGGUGGAGACUUCACCGGAGGAGGUGGGGAGUGGUAGUAGUAAGGAGGGGGUGGAGACUUCACCGGAGGAGGUGGAGAGUGGUAGUAGUAAGGUGGAGGAGGAGACUUCACCGGAGGAGGUGGAGAAUGGUAAUAGUAAGGAGGAGGAGGAGAUUUCACCGGAGGAGGUGGUGAAUGAUAGUAGUAUGGUGGUGGAGGAGACUUGACCGGAGGUGGUGGAGAAUGGUAGUAGUAUGGAGGUGGUGGGGAUUUGACGGGUGGUGGUGGUGAGUGAUAAUAAUAUGGAGGUGGAGGAGAUUUUACUGGUGGUGGAGGAGAGUGGUAGUAGUAUGGUGUAGGAGUGUGCGUUGGAGGGGGUGGUGAUUUGUAAACAUACGUUGGAGUGGGAGGAGGCGGUGACUUGUAGACAUAGGUCGGAGUAGGAGGAGGUGGUGAUUUGUAAAUAUAGGUUGGAGUUGGUGGUGGUGGAGAUUUGUAAACAUAUGUUGGGGUUGGAGGUGGUGGUGACUUGUAUACAUAAGUAGGAGUUGGUGGAGGUGGUGACUUGUAGACAUAAGUAGGGGUUGGUGGUGGUGGAGAUUUAUAGACAUAAGUCGGGGUUGGUGGCGGUGGUGAUUUGUAAACAUAGGUCGGGGUUGGCGGUGGUGGUGACUUGUAAACAUAUGUCGGAGUUGGCGGUGGUGGUGAUUUGUAGACGUAAGUCGGAGUUGGUGGAGGUGGUGAUUUGUAGACAUAAGUUGGAGUUGGUGGUGGUGGAGACUUGUAGACAUAGGUUGGAGCCGGUGGUGGUGGUGACUUGUAGUAGUAAACCGGAGACGGUGGUGGUGGAGAUUUGUAAUAGUAUGGAGGAUGGUAAGGAGCCGGUUUGUGGCAUUCACCAUAAG